GAGUUUCGUCUCUGGAGAGAGGGUUCGGCCGCCGAAGGUGCCUCCGAAAGUGCCCUGUCCAGCCUUUUCAUGGUUGUUUUCUAUGCAUGCUUUGGUGAUGUUUUAGGGGGUUUUUGGGUAGUUGUUUAUGAGUUGUUUAGAGUGUGUUUGGCACCUCAUUCGAGUCCACCUAUGUAGGAUCGGACCCGAGGGAUCGAGGAGGCUAUCAGUGUUAGCAGUUGCAGAGUCAGUCCAGCGUCUGCCAGAGGUGAG
rnacentral:lncRNA from 1 species